GGUCCUAUAGCUCAGUUGGUUAGAGUAGUUGACUCAUAAUCAAUUGGUCCCAGGUUCGAGUCCUGGUGGGACCACCC
rnacentral:tRNA from 1 species